rnacentral:rRNA from 1 species
UACAUGGGGUGCAAACGUUGCUCGGAAUUAUUGGGCGUAAAGGGCUCGUAGGCGGUCUGUCGCGUCGGGAGUGAAAACUCAGGGCUUAACCCUGAGCCUGCUUCCGAUACGGGCAGACUAGAGGUAUGCAGGGGAGAACGGAAUUCCUGGUGUAGCGGUGAAAUGCGCAGAUAUCAGGAGGAACACCGGUGGCGAAGGCGGUUCUCUGGGCAUUACCUGACGCUGAGGAGCGAAAGUGUGGGGAGCGAACAGG